UUAAAUUGAAGAGUUUGAUCAUGGCUCAGAUUGAACGCUGGCGGCAGGCCUAACACAUGCAAGUCGAACGGUAACAGGAAGCAGCUUGCUGCUUCGCUGACGAGUGGCGGACGGGUGAGUAAUGUCUGGGAAACUGCCUGAUGGAGGGGGAUAACUACUGGAAACGGUGGCUAAUACCGCAUAACGUCGCAAGACCAAAGAGGGGGACCUUCGGGCCUCUUGCCAUCAGAU
rnacentral:rRNA from 1 species